CCUACGGGAGGCAGCAGUGGGGAAUAUUGCACAAUGGGGGAAACCCUGAUGCAGCGACGCCGCGUGAGUGAAGCAGUAUUUCGGUAUGUACAGCUCUAUCAGCAGGGAAGAAAAUGACGGUACCUGAUUAAGAAGCCCCAGCUCACUACGUGGCAGCAGCCGCGGUACUACGUAGGGGGCAAGCGUUAUCCGGAUUUACUGGGUGUAAAGGGAGCGUAGACGGCAGCACAAGUCUGGAGUGAAAUGCCGUGGCUUAACCCCGGAACUGCUUUGGAAACUGUGCAGCUAGAGUGCAGGAGAGGUAAGUGGAAUUCGUAGUGUAGCGGUGAAAUGCGUAGAUAUUAGGAGGAACACCAGUGGCGAAGGCGGCUUACUGGACUGUAACUGACGUUGAUGCUCGAAAGCGUGGGGAGCAAACAGGAUUAGAUACCCGUGUAGUC
rnacentral:rRNA from 1 species